AGGCAAUAUAAGUAGUAUGUUAAUAAAUUAGUUUAACUAAUUUACAUCUAAUUCUCACAGGUUAAGUUGAAAAUUAAAUUAUCUAAUUAAUGGAGAAUGAUGGUGAAAUUCUAGAACCCAGAACCCAGUGAGUUUAGAACCUGGAACUCUUGUAUUUUAAACAAAAGAGCACUAGGAAGUAUAUCAAUAUUUGGAUUUAAAAGAUCAGUGUUUCUCCCCCUGACUCAGGAAAGACUUUAGAAUCUGAGAACAGCUGGUGGAGGUGAAUAGGAGACUUGAGAUAAUCCUGGAGUUUCUACGCGAGUUAGAGAUACAGUCUGUUUGUACAGAUACAACCGUUUCUCUAAAAUGUCUAAAAUUAAUGAGAUUAUUUAGAUUCAUUGACAGAAUUUGAAUCCAUUGUGUCUACCAAACAAGCUUUUUUGUGGCUUUAUAUUCUCAUGUGUACUUGGACCCAAACCCAUGUCUUUGACCAGCAAUGAGAGGCAAGACAAAGGAAGGCUAGGGAUGCGGCGAUUCAAACUCAGUGCAAGACUUGCACUCAGCAGAGAGUGACCAGGAGGUGAUGGGAUUCUGAGCCAUGACCAGAGACAUGGGAAUGUUUAGCCUGGAGGAGAGAAAAGCCAUAAGGACAAAACCAGCCAUCUUUAAUUAAAAGGCUGCCAUGUGGAACAGGUUUAGAGUAGUUUUGUCCAGCCUGAGGCUGCGACAGCUAAGACUUGUGGUUAGAAAGAAGUAAAUGGAAGACAGCAUGUUUUUUCAACUUUGGGGAGUUCUGGUUUUUAACUUAAGAUCUGAUUUUAAAUUUAAAUUUUAGUUCUGAUUUUAAACUUAAGAUUGCUAAGGAAUAGGUGAUCUUUACAAAAGUGAUCAAACUAUAUUCUGUGGCCCACUGCUGGUCCACAAAGGUCUUCCUGAUGGGUCAAAAACAGAUCCAAAUUCAAAUUCUUUCUUUACAUGGCAUCCACCCAGAGGAUACAAUUCAGUGGAUUUUAUUUUGUUAGCAACAGAAGGUGUCUGAAUUAAGGCUUAUUAAAUUUCACUAUUCCUAAACUAAAAUAUGUGCACUUAGCAGCUUACUGAGGAGUAGUAAUUAACAAAUGGCGUUCAGCAAUUGAUGGCCUGGCAAAACUAUUGUGCAUACUUAGAGAUAGAAGUUAAGAACUUGCAGGAAAAUCCCAGACACAUCGGUUCAUAAUUAAUUGCUGCCUUUCUUUUUAAACUAUGAUAACUUGAUGAGCU
rnacentral:lncRNA from 1 species